UACGUAGGUGGCGAGCGUUGUCCGGAAUCACUGGGCGUAAAGGGCGCGUAGGCGGCUAGUCAAGUCGCAAGUGAAAUACCAGGGCUUAACCUUGGGGGGUCUUGCGAAACUGAAUGGCUUGAGUGCAGUAGAGGAAAGCGGAAUUCCUGGUGUAGCGGUAAAAUGCGUAGAUAUCAGGAGGAACACCGGUGGCGAAGGCGGGUCUCUGGGCCGAUACUGACGCUGAGGAGCGAAAGCGUGGGGAGCGAACAGG
rnacentral:rRNA from 1 species